UGCCUAACACAUGCAAGUCGAAUGUGCCGCAAGGUGCAUGGCAGACGGGUGAGUAACGCGUGGGCAAUCUACCUUUUAGUGGGGAAUAACGUUCCGAAAGGAAUGGUAAUACCGCAUGUGAUCAUCGACUGGGAUGUUGGUGAUGAAACCUGGGGACCUUCGGGCCUGGGGCUAAAAGAGGAGCCUGCGUCUGAUUAGCUAGUUGGUGGGGUAAUGGCCUACCAAGGCGACGAUCAGUAGCCGGCCUGAGAGGGUGAUCGGCCACACUGGAACUGAGACACGGUCCAGACUCCUACGGGAGGCAGCAGUGGGGAAUUUUGCGCAAUGGACGAAAGUCUGACGCAGCCACGCCGCGUGGGUGAUGAAGGUCUUCGGAUUGUAAAACCC
rnacentral:rRNA from 1 species